GUGCUUCCCAAUUAAAGUUCAAUUCUGAAAAUUUCAGGAUUUUGGACACUUUUUGACUUAUUUUCGAGAAAUUUUUGGUUAACUAAACGCAGAAAAGCAUUGGCCAAAUGAAUUCAAUGCGAAGUUUAAUUUUCAAGUGUACUUCCUGGGGUUUUUUGAUUUGUUCUUUUCUUGGGAAAAUUGAUUAUUACGACUAUGAGGAAAUUAUUAUGCGGUUCAAGGUACUAAACACCUGCCACCUUCACGACUGGUCACCAACUAUAGCGCAAUACACGGUUUGAAGAACUUUUACAACCAUGUAUGCAGCUGGCUUACAGUACAUGCUCAAUUUUGAGAACUGGCUCACCAUCUCCACGGAUACCUGAGACCAGACUCGAUUUUGCAAACCUCGUUGCGUAAACUUCAACCAAACAUCAACUUUUUGUUCCGGAACUUCAAACUUUAACAACUUUUGCCAACUCUGGGCUUAAAAUUGGGUCCUGCCUGCUGCAGUUUUGACCCGGAGUCCUGGAUGCACCCAACUACGUUAGCAUGGAGCUGUAAUGUACAGUAUUGGACGACGUAGCACUCUAAAAGAAUUGUUUACAGAGGAAACUAUUAGGCCGAUAACAUCGCACCUUACUCCAACAACGCGCGCUCUUUUAACUUCCACAACUCACCGUCAGCUCUGCUCUGUACUAAAUCCAGCUGAAGUCUUCACUGAUGAACCUGGAACAUCCGCUGAACAGCAUGCAACCAGUUCGGUGUUCUACGAUCAACGUGUACUAACAACAGAAUCACGUGUCGCGUUAUUUGAAUUGUAAUUUUAUAAAAUUUAAAAAGAACUAAGUACGGAAGCAGAUUUUAAACUGAAAAUCAAUUUGUUAUUCUAGUUAGGGCAUUCCGCCUUGUUUUAACGACUAAAUCGUAAUUGUAAAAUCCUAGGUAGGUGUGAAAGCGCGAUAAAAUUUGUUAAAUUACUAGAUUUGCACAUUCUCAAGUGAGAAAUUGAUUAGAAAAACCUAUAAAUUUGUUCAUGCAUCCUAAAGGUGCAGAAAAUAGCUAUAAAUUGGAAAAA